CUUUGACGUGCCACAGGCUUUUGGCUUAGGUAAUAAGGGAUAAGAUAUGCUUUUCUUUCUGCUAACAGCCCAUCUUGUCUGCUUUCUUUCUGUUCAGGUUGCUGAAACUGAGAAUGAAUCCCCUGAAAAGGGAAUGCUUCAGGAGACCCCAAGCAAAGAACAAAAAGCUGCUAUGGUGCCUGCUGAGAAAAGGUUCGCUCUGCUUGAAUCAGAUGGUAACAGACUUGGGUAUACAAUAUUGACAAGAAACACAGAGCACCUGGGCCCUACCCCUGAGAACAGCGGAGCUGGAGAUGAAAACAUCUGAACCCUUCAGAAAAGGCUCCAGAUGAGGUGAACCUGCUGUUGAAUUGUUACCUGCAUUCUUUACACGUCAUUAGGUGUUUGGAUUUAAUUCCAUAUCUUUCUCCUCAAAGCCUGCCAAGCAUAUCCAGUUUCUGCCAAGUGAUUAGAAGCUGACUUUGUUUAUUUGAGAACCGCGGGCAAAGCUGAUCAACAGCAGCGCUUUCAGUUCUGUUUGGAGGUGCAGGUUGAGAGGAGACCUGGAGUGGGCCUCACAGCAAACUUGCAGUCACAUUGCCUUAAGUAACAUUGUACAGCCAGGACAACACAAUCUAGGAAAUGAAUGAGUUUAACAUUUAUUCAUGAGUGAGGCAUUCUGGGAGAAUUCUUAGUAUCUUUUUC
rnacentral:lncRNA from 1 species